GCGGGAUCGCGAGGGCGCGAGCCGGGAAGGGCCCCGGCGCGGCGGGGCGGGCUGCCCCGGAGCUCGGCGGGGGUCGCGGCGGAGACAAGGCGGCCGCUGCGGGGAGAUGCCGCGCGAGGAAGUGGAUCGGGCGGGUACGCCGGGUGUGCGCACCUGCGCGCCGGGCAGCGGGGACCAGUGUGCUAGCCCAGGGAUGUUCUUCUCAUGGCAAUGACGGAGUGCAAGCAGACACAUGCACAGCCUCUAGAGGACUACAUUUGGCACCAGCUUACUGUCACUUUUGCCUCAUUCUGUUGACCACAAUCUUCUGAACAUGUCCCCAUUCCGUGAGCCCACAGUGAUCUGUUUGUUUUGCCUGGUCCCAGCUCAUGCAUUCUUCAAGUCUUGGUAACCAGGAUGUUUUGUCUGUUCAGGCUCUAAACGAUCAGUGGGACAGGAACCGAAGUUAAGUAGCUCAGGAUGCAUCAAGAUGAACUUGGGAAAACCGCGAGCCGCUGUGCUGACUGGACUGCUUCUCUGAAUCAGCUGGAACUUCUUUUUGUGUCUAGUUUUAAAAGCUCCUCGGAAGCAAUCCUAAAUCCAGAAUCGUUUCAAUUAUUAUGAGGGGAAUUCUGAAGUUCUCAUUAAACACACGAAUGACUCAAGCUUUGAAAAGAGCCAGAUGCCACAGGCAAGAAUCCCAGGGCAUUGCCCACCUGGGUGUGAUCCCCUGAUAACUGUCUAACGAACUCAGCAUGUGUCCCCCGGGGCAUGACCAUCUGCUGGGCAAAGCUCCAGGACCCUGAGACAUCCUGGAAUUCCUGUGGUUUAGGAAAGACCUUUAACUACCAGUGGUAGUUGUCUCAUCGUUCUUCAAAUAAUCUGGUCUUGUUUAUUAUUAUCAUUACUAUUUAAUUUUAUUUUAUUACAGCUGUACUUGGAGAAUAGUCCGGUCUUGAGGCCUUUUCACUGUGGUCUGUUCUAGUGUAUGGCUCCCACCAGUGUGAAGCAGAAGGAUGACUUUGCUCUGUUGUCAGGACAACCUUGAAGGAAGGAGCCAAAUGUGUGGAGGUCUGUG
rnacentral:lncRNA from 1 species